rnacentral:rRNA from 1 species
AUUCCAGCUCCAAUAGCGUAUAUUAAAGUUGUUGCAGUUAAAACGCUCGUAGUCGGAUUUCGGGGCGGGCCGACCGGUCUGCCGAUGGGUAUGCACUGGCCGGCGCGUCCUUCCACCCGGAGACCGCGCCUACUCUUAACUGAGCGGGCGCGGGAGACGGGUCUUUUACUUUGAAAAAAUCAGAGUGUUUCAAGCAGGCAGUCGCUCUUGCAUGGAUUAGCAUGGGAUAAUGAAAUAGGACAUUGGUUCUCUAUUUCUGAUGGUUUGAAGGACCGAUGUAAUGAUUAAUAGGGACAGUUGGGGACAUUUAUAUUCCAUGGCUAGAGGUGAAAUUCUUGGAUUCAUGGAAGAUAAACUACUGCGAAAGCAUUUGUCAAAGAUGUUUUCAUUA